GGAGGAAAAGAAACCAACAGGGAUUGCCCCAGUAACGGCGAGUGAAGCGGCAACAGCUCAAAUUUGAAAUCUGGCCCCUCGGGCCCGAGUUGUAAUUUGUAGAGGAUGCUUUUGGCAAGGUGCCGCCCGAGUUCCCUGGAACGGGACGCCGCAGAGGGUGAGAGCCCCGUCUGGCUGGCCGCCGAGCCUUUGUAAAGCUCCUUCGACGAGUCGAGUAGUUUGGGAAUGCUGCUCAAAAUGGGAGGUAUAUGUCUUCUAAAGCUAAAUAUUGGCCAGAGACCGAUAGCGCACAAGUAGAGUGAUCGAAAGAUGAAAAGCACUUUGAAAAGAGGGUUAAACAGUACGUGAAAUUGUUGAAAGGGAAGCGCUCAUGACCAGACUUGGGCUUGGCGGAUCAUCCGGCGUUCUCGCCGGUGCACUUCGCCUCGCCCAGGCCAGCAUCAGUUCGCGCCGGGGGACAAAAGUUUCGGGAAUGUGGCUCCUCCGGGAGUGUUAUAGCCCGUUGCAUAAUACCCUGGUGCGGACUGAGGUUCGCGCAUCUGCAAGGAUGCUGGCGUAAUGGUCAUCAGCGACCCGUCUU
rnacentral:rRNA from 1 species